UAUCUCUGUAGAGUCUGCAUAUCAAUAAGCGGAGGAAAAGAAACUAACAAGGAUUCCCUUAGUAACGGCGAGUGAAGCGGGAAGAGCUCAAAUUUGAAAUCUUCAAGGUUUUACCUUGACGAAUUGUAGUUUAAAGAAGUGUUUUCUGUUGAAGUUUUGGUAAAAGUUCUUUGGAAUAGGACAUCAUAGAGGGUGAGAAUCCCGUAUUUGACCAUUAUUUUCAGCUGUGUGAUACACUUUCAAAGAGUCGGAUUGUUUGGGAAUGCAGUCCAAAAUGGGUGGUAAAUUUCAUCUAAAGCUAAAUAUUGGCGAGAGACCGAUAGCGAACAAGUACCGUGAGGGAAAGAUGAAAAGAACUUUGAAAAGAGAGUUAAACAGUACGUGAAAUUGUCAAAAGGGAAGCGUUUGACACCAGUGUUGUUUUCUCGAAAAUCAAUUAAAAAAGGCCGGAUUUUGUGUUGUAUUGACCUUAAAAGCUUUCUUCACUCUUUUCUUGUCUUUUUUAAUGCACUUUUCGUUUAACAAGUCAACAUCAGUUUCUUUUGUUGUAAAAGGGUCAUUGGAAGGUGGCUUUCUUUUCGGAGAAAGUGUUUAUAGCCUUUGAUCUCUGCAACCGGAGAGACUGAGGUCUGCAGCGUAGACUCUUCGGGGUUAGAUACAUUUGUGCUAAGCUAUAGCUUUUUAUAGACAACUUGUUGACUAUAUUUAGUCUUGUGGCUUACUCGCUUAUGCUAUUUUACCUACGCUUAGGAUGUUGAUGUGAUACUGCGAGCA
rnacentral:rRNA from 1 species